UACGUAGGGGGCAAGCGUUGCUCGGAAUCACUGGGCGUAAAGCGCACGUAGGCGGCUUUCUAAGUCAGGGGUGAAAUCCUGGAGCUCAACUCCAGAACUGCCUUUGAUACUGGAGAGCUUGAGUCCGGAAGAGGUGAGUGGAACUCCGAGUGUAGAGGUGAAAUUCGUAGAUAUUCGGAAGAACACCAGUGGCGAAGGCGGCUCACUGGUCCGGUACUGACGCUGAUGUGCGAAAGCGUGGGGAGCAAACAGG
rnacentral:rRNA from 1 species